rnacentral:rRNA from 1 species
AGCGAACGCUGGCGGCAGGCUUAACACAUGCCAGUCGAGCGGGCCCUUCGGGGUCAGCGGCCGACGGGUGAGUAACACGUGGGAACGUACCCUUUGGUUCGGAAUAACGCUGGGAAACUAGCGCUAAUACCGGAUACGCCCUUUUGGGGAAAGGCUUGCUGCCGAAGGAUCGGCCCGCGUCUGAUUAGCUAGUUGGUGGGGUAAUGGCCUACCAAGGCGACGAUCAGUAGCUGGUCUGAGAGGAUGAUCAGCCACACUGGGACUGAGACACGGCCCAGACUCCUACGGGAGGCAGCAGUGGGGAAUAUUGGACAAUGGGCGCAAGCCUGAUCCAGCCAUGCCGCGUGAGUGAUGAAGGCCUUAGGGUUGUAAAGCUCUUUUGUCCGGGACGAUAAUGACGGUACCGGAAGAAUAAGCCCCGGCUAACUUCGUG